rnacentral:rRNA from 1 species
AUUGAACGCUGGCGGCAGGCCUAACACAUGCAAGUCGAGCGGAUGAAUCGGGCUUGCUCCUGGAUUCAGCGGCGGACGGUUGAGUAAUGCCUAGGAAUCUGCCUUGUAGGGUGGGAUAACGUCCUGAAACGGGCGCUAAUACCGCAUACGUCCUGUGGGAGAAAGUGGGGGAUCUUCGGACCUCACGCUAUCAGAUGAGCCUAGGUCGGAUCAGCUAGUUGGUGGGGUAAAUGCCUACCAAGGCGACGAUCCGUAACUGGUCUGAGAGGAUGGUCAGUCACAUUGGAACUGAGAAACGGUACAGACACCUACGGGAGGAAGCAGUGGGGAAUAUUGGACGAUGGGCGAAAGCCUGAUCCAGCCAUGCCGCGUGUGUGAAGAAGGUCUUCGGAUUGGAAAGCACUUUAAGUUGGGAGGAAGGGAAGUAAGUUAAUACCUUGCUGUUUUGACGUUACCAACAGAAUAAGCACCGGCUAACUUCGUG